rnacentral:other from 1 species
GUUAGCCUACCUGGCGCGUUUUCGGCCAGAGCUGUUCCGAACACCAUCCUGCAGGGAGUCCUACAUUGCCUGGGUCUGCGGACUUAGGCUGCGGAAACCCACCUUAAAUGAGCGGGAUAAGCUCACCACAUUAACGACCGGGUGGGUUUUUC